AUCGCCGUUUGAUUGGUCGAAACGGUUUGACGUGAGACGUGACCCGACCUCCGGGCUUCGUGUGUUUAUUGAUAUCAGUUGUUGGGUUCACAACAAUUUGACGCUAUCAUUCUAAUAUUUUUUAAGGUAGAAUAUUCUAAAAAACAUAUUCUAAAUAGAAUGUAAACAACAUCCUAGUUAAGUAUUGUAGUGUGAGGCACUUAUAGUUCCACCUAUUACGAAUAUAAUAUACAUUAUCAUAGUAACCAUGAGUGAUGGAAGCCUGAUGGAUAUGGUGAUAACUACUCUCGGUGUUUUAAUAAGCAUGGCUAUGCUGAGCUGCUUGUGCUGUCUUUGUAUGAAAUUUAGUGACUUGAAGCUGAAGGCAUAUAUAGUGGAAAUGGC